AUUUGCUGUUCUCCAUCCUUCUCUUCCCAACAGGUGCUGAGUUUGUUUCCCAUUCAGUGGCUGCUGUUUGCCUCAUGGUCUUUGGCAUCUGCCUUGCAAUCUCCAAGUGAGCCAGUGAGGUCUUCUUUGGUGCCCAGCCACUUCUAAUCAAACAAGCAUGUUUCUGGGGGAUGGCAAAGGCAGAAACUGUCACAAUUCCAGGCAAACCAAGUCAGGGUUUAGUGCUGCUGGACUGCUGCAGGUUGAGGAGUCUUUAAAGCCCAGGUCAAAUGUGCAGCUUAAGUUGUGGUUGAAGAGACCCAAUACCAGCUUGCUAGAAGGAGGCUGGGCUGUGAUCUGAGACCCGCUAAUGCAGUUCCACUGAGACAAUACUUGAGAGAAAGAUAGAAUGAUCUGCAAGGAAAAAGUAAUUGUGGCCUCAUAAAAACAGCAGGUCCAUUACACAAACCGCACAUGUUCCCUGCUUUAUGUACUCUGUGAAAACUCAACAGCUGGCAUUCGUACUAUGGCUAGUGGUAAGUUUCAUUUCUCUGAAAAAUUUUAAAUGCAGAAUUUGGACUUGUGUCCUAUAAU
rnacentral:lncRNA from 1 species